UUUUUUUCCUUUCUUUUUUUUAUUACAUUGAUAUUUUCGAUAUUUUCGAUAUUACAGCGAUAUUUUGACAAAAAAUUGCUGAAGUGUGACCGAAAUUAUCGACAUCUAUAUUUUUUGAUAUUAUCGAUAUUUAGAGGAUAUGUGUAUAGAUACGUUCCGAAAUAUUCGUAACUAGAAAAAACGAUAAUAUCCUCAAUAUUUUGUCGAUAUUAUCGAUAUUUUAGACUAAGGUUGUGAUUAACGGUCAUGAUUGAGAUAUUCAAUGGCAAUAUGUACUUGAAUGGCGGGACAUCAUACCAAGUUACC
rnacentral:lncRNA from 1 species